rnacentral:misc_RNA from 1 species
UCUCCGUAGGUGAACCUGCGGAGGGAUCAUUACAGAGUUCAUGCCCUAUCGGGUAGAUCUCCCACCCUAUGUUAUUAUUACUUUGUUGCUUUGGCGGGCCGUUAGGCUCCGGCCCGACUACCGGCCCCGGCUGGAAAGCGCCCGCCAGAGGACCCAAAACCCUGAAUAUUAGUGUCGUCUGAGUACUAUAUAAUAGUUAAAACUUUCAACAACGGAUCUCUUGGUUCUG